UCUCUUUCCAUCCAUAACUUCCUUAGAUGUACUCUCUUUCUAUCAGUCUUCUCUCUCGGGUACAAGGAGAAGCCCUAGCCGAAUCCUCACUCCCACUCCCUAUUUCAAUUUUCAUCAAGCCCUACUUCUUAUUACACUUCCAUCUCUCUCAUCUGUCACUUCCAUUUUUUUCUCUGAAAGCAAUUUCUGCACUCUCCCUCUCGUCUCCAUACUGGCUGCUCUUCUUCAACACACUUAACCCAUUUUCAUUCAUCGAAAAAAAUAUUGUUGUUGUUUUAACUAUUUUACAAGUUUUUUCUGGAAUCGUGAUGUUGUUGCUGUUUUUCUUAUUCUGAUUUUAGAGUUGAUGUUAGGAAGCAAUAUGCAGAGCAAUGGCUGAAAAUUGAAGAAAAGGUAUUACAAAAAUUAGGGUUUGUUUCUUUUCUCCAUCUCAUCUUGCCACCAACACUGUUUUUAAUGUAUGGUUUGAGUGAUUUAGUUUGUUUCUGAAUGGUAGAAUUGUUUAAAUGGUUUUAAAUGAUUUAGUUUGUUUCUGAUAUUUGGCCCCAAUUAACCGGUUGGACUUUUGUUUCAAGCAAUCUCGCCGUCGACCAUCGCCUCUCCUUCUCUAACAACCGACGAAGAAGAAAGAGGGCCAACAUCUUACCGAUUUUGAAUGUUGAGUUUCUUUUUUUUAGGUUUAUUAAAUUGUUCAUCUUUUUGAGUUCAUUUACCACUAUAUUGUUGAAAAUUUGUUCUGUUACCUAUUUGUUGGUUAUGUCACUUGCGUAUUCAGGAUGCAUUUGUGAGUCUGUAGCAAAUGCUGAGCUGAAGAAGGCACAUGCUGAGUUGAAGAAGCAGGUAUUAAUGGUCUUCAUCCAUGAAAAAUAAUCAUUUUAAGGUUCUUUUUCUUCUAUUUUCUGCUGCGUGUUCAUGACCAAGUGAAAAGGAAUAAUGUGAGAUUAGUUUGUUAUAUUAAUGGCUAUGACAAGUGGUUUAGUUCAUGCAGUCGAAAAAAGGUUUUUACAUGUUAUUCCUCCAAAUGAAGCAAUUGAUAUAGUUGAGGUUAUACAAUCGAUGUCAAAUAUGACAUUUAUAUCAUGGAAAGGGGGCGGUAUGUUGAAUACAUAAGAAGAUCAUGCUUCACUUCAUCAAUUUCUUCACUUUGGUUAUCAAACAGAAGUUACUGUGCUGCUCAUUAAUUAUACCAAGAUGGAUAACUUUCAUGACAAAACCAAAAUAAUUAAAUUGUCAUUAAAUUUACAUCAGUUUUAUUGCUAAUGCUUUAUUUUCAAAUUCAUGAUUCCAUAGGUGCAUAAAACAUUUGCAUAAACAGCCAAUGCCAACUGGUGUUAAACAAGGUGCCACAGGUAAACUUUCAGGAUUCAAGUUACUAUAUGCACCGAGAUUGUUGCUCUAUCAACUUUCAUGUCUGAGUUGCUGGCUGAAGUGUUUAAUACAUGUUCGUUUUUCUCAUCUCACGAGCUUCCUAAUGAACUGUUGGAGUGAAGACAUAUCAUGUUUCUUCCUUCGCCCUGUAUUUUGGGGAACGACAAUAUUUACGCAUAUUUGAUUUUUUCAGUUUCUCUAAAUAGCCUUUUAGCCUUUCGAACGACUAUGAUUCUAAGAGUGAUCUUAUCUUGCAUAUCAAGGGGGGUUGAUAUCAUAGCUGGUUUGUUUGUCUUUUUACUCUUUUUAUGUUCAGGUAUAUCUUUCGGUGAGAAAAAAAUACCAUUUACAACCAUCAAGCUAUGGUGUGGUACUAGAAAUUUUUUCAGUUCUAUGUUCUUUGUGCAAGACUUCUUGGUACUGUUCUCUCUUUUAUGUUUCGAACAUAGGACUUCUUGGUACUGUUUUCUCUUUUUACUUUGAUGGAUGACCCAUUCAACAUUCCACCAGUAUUUGUAAUAUUGUCUAGCUAAGGUGGCUACUAUAGUCCUGUAGAAGUAUUUUCCAUUCUCAUUUUUAUGACUUGGUUAAAUUUUCAUCAAUACCUACUAUAUUAUCACUUGGUUAACUUUCCUACUAUCUUAUAUAUAUGUAAAGUACACUCAGGAUUGAAUAGGCAAUAAAAAGUUAUUUAAUUUUCCCAGAAACUAGACUCUAAGGGAUAUUGCUGAUAAUCUUUUGGAACUUAUAAAUAAUGUAACUACUUGCAAGAAAAUAACUAGAUACAAAUUGAAGGUGGAAUUGUUUUGGAUAGCUAAGUUAGCUAUUUUUACAUUAUCUCACUUUAACUAGCAUGACCUGUGUUAUUUUUAAUGCAUAAGGAAAUUGUUGUUUCUUAUGCCUUGUCACAUUUGGUUUCACUCUAAUAAUUGAACACUUUUUUGGUUGUUAUUUUGGCAAGCAGGAAAUCAAUGAUCGGACAAACAGGAGUACUUGAAACAAGUUAAGAGAUGCUUGAAAGGUUAUAAUUUAAAUUUUGAGAAGGAUCAGUUGUAACCACAUAAUAUUCAUUUGAAUAGAUCAACCACUAUUUAAAAAUCAAUUAUUUUCUUUUCCUUUUAUUGCUUCUAUUUUAUGCAAAUAUACACUGAGUCUGUACUUUGCACUUUAGUUUAUUUUCUCUUUAUUUUUUCUUUAUGGUGACAUUUGGGGGAUUUGGCUAUCUUUAUUAUGUCAUUCCCUGGGUCUACCAUGGAGAUUUUAUGUAUGAACCUUGUCUUAUAGAGAAGUAUGUGCCACAAAUAUUCUAAAAGUCUAAAAGGGUUAAUAUAAAUAUGUCUGCAUAAUCCCAAUCAAGAAUUGCAAUGUCCUAUGUAUACCAAUACAAAUCCACCCAUCUAUAUACAUGGACAUGUUGGAUACAAGUAAAAUAACUUUAGCUAGAUUUUUCAACUUUAAAACAAUAGAUGAAGGAUCUCAAACAACGCAAAAAUGACAUGGAAAAAGGUGAUCCUAUAGUCAAAUUCUUUUUCAUGUCCUCAAAUUGGUUUUAACAAUUAAACAUUGUUUCCAUUAAUGCACACCAUACGUAUUUUGUACAAUAGUCGGAGAAAUCCUCUUCAAUCUCAAUUAAUAAUUUAUUUUAAACUUACAGGUACAUCUAAAUAUAUUAUAAAAUAUAUUAGAUCAUUGAAUCACAUUGACAAAAUAAUAAAAGAAAUACCUCUUUUAUAUUAGCUGCUUUUUUUCAACUGGAAAUAUAAAUUAAUUUAAAAAUAAAAGGUCUUAAUGAUAUAGU